ACGAACGCUGGCGGCGUGCUUAACACAUGCAAGUCGAGCGGUAAGGCCUUUCGGGGUCCACGAGCGGCGAACGGGUGAGUAACACGUGGGUGAUCUGCCCUGCACUUCGGGAUAAGCCUGGGAAACUGGGUCUAAUACCGGAUAUGACCUCCUAUCGCAUGGUGGGUGGUGGAAAGAUUUAUCGGUGCAGGAUGGGCCCGCGGCCUAUCAGCUUGUUGGUGGGGUAAUGGCCUACCAAGGCGACGACGGGUAGCCGACCUGAGAGGGUGACCGGCCACACUGGGACUGAGACACGGCCCAGACUCCUACGGGAGGCAGCAGUGGGGAAUAUUGCACAAUGGGCGAAAGCCUGAUGCAGCGACGCCGCGUGAGGGAUGACGGCCUUCGGGUUGUAAACCUCUUUCAGCAGGGACGAAGCGCAAGUGACGGUACCUGCAGAAGAAGCACCGGCUAACUACGUG
rnacentral:rRNA from 1 species